GACGAACGCUGGCGGCGUGCCUAAUACAUGCAAGUCGAGCGGACUGAAUGGGAGCUUGCUCUUGUUCGGUCAGCGGCGGACGGGUGAGUAACACGUGGUCAACCUUCCCGCAAGACCGGGAUAACUCCGGGAAACCGGAGCUAAUACCGGAUAACACCGAAGACCGCAUGGUCUUUGGUUGAAAGGCGGCGCAAGCUGCCACUUGCGGAUGCGCCCGCGGCGCAUUAGCGAGUUGGUGAGGUAACGGCUCACCAAGGCGACGAUGCGUAGCCGGCCUGAGAAGGGGGACGGGCACAACGGGAAUGGGACAACGCCCAGAAUCCUACGGGGGGCAGCAGUAGGGAAUCUUCCGCAAUGGGCGGAAGCCUGACGGAGCGACGCCGGGGGGGCGGAGAAGGCCUUCGGGUCGUAAAGCUCUGUUGUGAGGGAAGAAGGAGCGACGUUUGAAGAAGGCGGCGCGGUGACGGUACCUAACGAGGAAGCCCCGGCUAACUACGUG
rnacentral:rRNA from 1 species